AGCGGGGUAGGGGAGCUAGGUUACCCCGCCGGGCUCAUAACCCGGAGGUCGGUGGUUCAAAUCCACCCCCCGCUA
rnacentral:tRNA from 1 species